AGGAUGGUAAUGGUGGUGAAGAAGAAGAAGGGGGAGUGCGCAUUUUAGCUGGAGAAGCGCAGGAUAAGAGAAACAGAAUGUGCAGAAGGUGUGGAGAGAGGGAAUCAUGUGUGUUACUGUUACCGUGCAGACACUUGUGUUUAUGCACAGUAUGUGGGUCAAGUUUACAGGAUGUUUGCCCAGUAUGUAAUUCAAAUAUGAAUGCAACAGUUCACGUCAACAUGACUUCUUGAUACAUCCAUCCAAAUGUUCAAAUAUGAACAUAACAGAAAAAUAGAGUUUUUUGUUGAUUUACAAGUUUCAGAUUUAGGGUUCUG
rnacentral:misc_RNA from 1 species